AGAGUUUGAUCCUGGCUCAGGAUAAACGCUGGCGGCGUGCCUAACACAUGCAAGUCGCACGUCCUCUUCUUCUUCGGAGGGGGAGGGAGUGGCGGACGGGUGAGUAACACGUGGGUGACCUGUCCCGAGGUGAGGGAUACCGGGGCGAAAGCCUCGACAAUCCCGCAUGAGUUUCUCUCUUCGAUGAGGGAAGCAAAGCC
rnacentral:rRNA from 1 species